GACGAACCCUGGCGGCGUGCUUAACACAUGCAAGUCGAACGGAAAGGCCCUGCUUUUGUGGGGUGCUCGAGUGGCGAACGGGUGAGUAACACGUGAGUAACCUGCCCUUGACUUUGGGAUAACUUCAGGAAACUGGGGCAAAUACCGGAUAGGAGCUCCUGCUGCAUGGCGGGGGUUGGAAAGUUUCGGCGGUUGGGGAUGGACUCGCGGCUUAUCAGCUUGUUGGUGGGGUAGUGGCUUACCAAGGCUUUGACGGGUAGCCGGCCUGAGAGGGUGACCGGCCACAUUGGGACUGAGAUACGGCCCAGACUCCUACGGGAGGCAGCAGUGGGGAAUAUUGCACAAUGGGCGGAAGCCUGAUGCAGCAACGCCGCGUGCGGGAUGACGGCCUUCGGGUUGUAAACCGCUUUCGCCUGUGACGAAGCGUGAGUGACGGUAAUGGGUAAAGAAGCACCGGCUAACUACGUGCCAGCAGCCGCGGUGAUACGUAGGGUGCGAGCGUUGUCCGGAUUUAUUGGGCGUAAAGGGCUCGUAGGUGGUUGAUCGCGUCGGAAGUGUAAUCUUGGGGCUUAACCCUGAGCGUGCUUUCGAUACGGGUUGACUUGAGGAAGGUAGGGGAGAAUGGAAUUCCUGGUGGAGCGGUGGAAUGCGCAGAUAUCAGGAGGAACACCAGUGGCGAAGGCGGUUCUCUGGGCCUUUCCUGACGCUGAGGAGCGAAGGCGUGGGGAGCGAACAGGCUUAGAUACCCUGGUAGUCCACGCUGUAAACGGUGGGUACUAGGUGUGGGGUCCAUUCCACGGGUUCCGUGCCGUAGCUAACGCUUUAAGUACCCCGCCUGGGGAGUACGGCCGCAAGGCUAAAACUCAAAGGAAUUGACGGGGCCCCGCACAAGCGGCGGAGCAUGCGGAUUAAUUCGAUGCAACGCGUAGAACCUUACCUGGGUUUGACAUGGAUCGGGAGUGCUCAGAGAUGGGUGUGCCUCUUUUGGGGUCGGUUCACAGGUGGUGCAUGCCUGUCGGCAGCUCGUGUCGUGAGAUGUUGGGUUAAGUCCCGCAACGAGCGCAACCCUUGUUCACUGUUGCCAGCACGUUAUGGUGGGGACUCAGUGGAGACCGCCGGGGUCAACUCGGAGGAAGGUGGGGAUGACGUCAAGUCAUCAUGCCCCUUAUGUCCAGGGCUUCACGCAUGCUACAAUGGCUGGUACAGAGAGUGGCGAGCCUGUGAGGGUGAGCGAAUCUCGGAAAGCCGGUCUCAGUUCGGAUUGGGGUCUGCAACUCGACCUCAUGAAGUCGGAGUCGCUAGUAAUCGCAGAUCAGCAACGCUGCGGUGAAUACGUUCCCGGGGCU
rnacentral:rRNA from 1 species